rnacentral:rRNA from 1 species
UACGGGGGGGGCAAGCGUUGUUCGGAAUUACUGGGCGUAAAGGGCUCGUAGGCGGCCAACUAAGUCAGACGUGAAAUCCCUCGGCUUAACCGGGGAACUGCGUCUGAUACUGGAUGGCUUGAGUCCGGUAGGGGACCACGGAAUUCCUGGUGUAGCGGUGAAAUGACGCAGAUAUCAGGAGGAACACCGGUGGCGAAGGCGGUGGUCUGGGCCGGAACUGACGCUGAGGAGCGAAAGCGUGGGGGAGCGAACAGG